GAUGAACGCUGGCGGUAUGCCUAACACAUGCAAGUCGUACGAGAGUUUUUAACUCUAGUGGCGGACGGGUGAGUAACACGUGAGAAUUUGCCUUUAGGAGGGGGACAACAAUUGGAAACGAAUGCUAAUACCCCAUAUGCUUUCGAGUGAAAUGGAUUUUAUCCGCCUAGAGAGAAGCUCGCGGCUGAUUAGCUUGUUGGUAAGGUAAGAGCUUACCAAGGCGACGAUCAGUAUCUGGUUUGAGAGGACGAUCAGACACACUGGAACUGAGACACGGUCCAGACUCCUACGGGAGGCAGCAGUGGGGGAAUUUUCCGCAAUGGGCGAAAGCCUGACGGAGCAAUACCGCGUGAGGGAAGAAUGCCUAUGGGUUGUAAACCUCUUUUUUCUAGGGAGGAUAAAAUGACGUGUACCUGAAGAAUAAGCAUCGGCUAACUCCGUG
rnacentral:rRNA from 1 species